rnacentral:rRNA from 1 species
AUUGAACGCUGGCGGCAGGCCUAACACAUGCAAGUCGAACGGUAACAGGAAGCAGCUUGCUGCUUUGCUGACGAGUGGCGGACGGGUGAGUAAUGUCUGGGAAACUGCCUGAUGGAGGGGGAUAACUACUGGAAACGGUAGCUAAUACCGCAUAACGUCGCAAGACCAAAGAGGGGGACCUUAGGGCCUCUUGCCAUCGGAUGUGCCCAGAUGGGAUUAGCUAGUAGGUGGGGUAACGGCUCACCUAGGCGACGAUCCCUAGCUGGUCUGAGAGGAUGACCAGCCACACUGGAACUGGGACACGGUCCAGACUCCUACGGGAGGCAGCAGUGGGGAAUAUUGCACAAUGGGCGCAAGCCUGAUGCAGCCAUGCCGCGUGUAUGAAGAAGGCCUUCGGGUUGUAAAGUACUUUCAGCGGGGAGGAAGGGAGUAAAGUUAAUACCUUUGCUCAUUGACGUUACCCGCAGAAGAAGCACCGGCUAACUCCGUG